UAGAUUAGGAUGAAGCAAAAUAUAUAAUCCAACACUUGAUCUGAGGAAUUAUGAGUGAUGGUAAAAUUAAUAAUAUGCUUCUGAAUCUGC
rfam:Vigna radiata var. radiata cultivar VC1973A chromosome 6, whole genome shotgun sequence